rnacentral:rRNA from 1 species
UUUAUGGUUUUUUUAGAACAUGAAUAUUUAGUUGAAAAGAUUUUAUCGUCGGCAGAUAUAUUCUUUCCCUUAAAUAAAAAACUUUAUUAUAAACUAAAGUCGGACUAGCCCUUUCGUUAGAACUUUAACCAUAACUAAGAGUUGUUUAUUUAAAGGAAAGAUAACAGAGCUUGUUUAGAAUUAGGUAGUUGGCUGUUUAAAAGACUCCCAAGCCUAUGAUUCUUAGUUGAUUUGAGAGAAUGAUCAACCACAUUGGGAUUGAAAACAGCCCAAGUUCCGUAAGGAGGCAGCAGUGAGGAAUAUUGAACAAUGAACGCAAGUUUGAUUCAGUAAUGUUACGUGGAUGAUGAAGGUCGAUUGCGUCCGUAAAAUCCUUUCGUCAAUGAAAAUAAUGAUAUUAGUUGAAGAAGAAGUCCCGACUAACUUCGUGCCAGCAGUCGCGGUAAUACGGAGGGGGCUAGUGUUACUCUUCAUAACUGGGCUUAAAGGGCAUGUAGGAUGUUAAUACGAUCACUAUUAAAAAAGAAGCAUAAUACGCUUCAGUGGUAGUUUUGUUCGAUUAACUUGAGUAUGUAUAAAGAUAGUCGAACUUUUAGUGGAGAGGUAAAAUUCGAAGAUAUUAAAAGGGCGUUCAAAUGGUGAAGACAACUAUCUGAUACGUACUGACUCUAAUGUGCAAAAGCGUAGGGAGCAAACAGGAUUAGAGACCCUGGUAGUCUACGCUGUGACCUAUGAAUAUUGGACACUUUAUACAAAAUUAAUUUGUUUAAGCUAACGCUAAAAUAUUCCGCCUGGGGACUAUGACCGCAAGGUUGAAACUCAAAGGAAUUGACUGAGAUUUACACAAGCGGUGGAACAUGUAGUUUAAUUCGAUAUAAAUCGACAAAUCUUACCAGUUCUUGAGAUGUAAUUAAAGUUUAGAAAUAAAUUACAUUUUUAACGUUUAUUAGAUUAAUCUUAAAAAUAAAUUACACAGGUGUUGCAUGGCUGUCGUCAGCUCGUGUUGUGAAAUGUAUGGUUAACUCCAUUAACGAGCGAAACCCUUUAUUAAAAAUUGUUUUACUAAACCAAAUUUAAUUUAUGAUCGAUCAAUAGUCGGUUGAAACUUAGGUUGAAGUCAAGUCAGUAUGACCCUUAUGAACUAGGGCUACACACGUGUUACAAUGAUAACUACAAAAAGAAGCAAUACCGUGAGGUGGAGCAAAUCUACAAAGGUUAUCGCCAGUGCGGAUUGUUUUUUGAAACUCAGAAACAUGAAGUAGGAAUCGCUAGUAAUCGUAGAUCAUCAAGUUACGGUGAAUUAGUACCUGGAUCUAGUACACACUGCCCGUCACGCCACGGAAAUCGGCUUUGCCUGAAGAUUUUUGUUAUGAGGCUUAUUAUAAGAUAUUUUUAAGCUCUUUUUUUUUAAGCUAUAAUA